UACAGAGGUCUCAAGCGUUGUUCGGAUUCAUUGGGCGUAAAGGGUGCGUAGGCGGCGCGGUAAGUCGGGUGUGAAAUCUCGGAGCUUAACUCCGAAACUGCAUUCGAUACUGCCGUGCUUGAGGACUGGAGAGGAGACUGGAAUUUACGGUGUAGCGGUGAAAUGCGUAGAUAUCGUAAGGAAGGCCAGUGGCGAAGGCGGGUCUCUGGACAGUUCCUGACGCUGAGGCACGAAGGCCAGGGGAGCAAACGGG
rnacentral:rRNA from 1 species